GUUUUGGAAAGGUAGAUUACGAGCUUGUAUUGAUUUCAGACUUAGCUUUAGUGCACCCAAUGUUUUAUGUCUUCUAGCUAAAAAAUUGCAUAGGUGACCCAGCACUUGUGAUCCCUACAGAGGGUAAGGAUUUAUAAAACAACCUCUCUUAUGAAGAGAUCCCAGUUAAAAUUCUCGAUCAUCAGGUUCGCAGAAUGAGGAACAAAGAAGUUCAUUUGGUUAAGGUUCUUUGGCGGAAUCAGUCC
rnacentral:lncRNA from 1 species